GGAAUAUUGGGCAAUGGAGGCAACUCUUACCCAGCAAUGCCGCGUGAAUGAAGAAGGUCUUCGGAUUGUAAAGUUCUUUAAUUGGGGACGAAAAAAAUGACGGUACCCAAGGAAUAAGCCCCGGCUAACUACGUGCCAGCAGCCGCGGUAAUACGUAGGGGGCAAGCGUUGUUCGGAAUGACUGGGCGUAAAGAGGGAGCAGGCGGCCUGGAGGGUCUAUUGUUAAAAGGCAGUGGCUUAACCAUUGAAAGGCGAAGAAACCGGCAGGCUAGAGUUCUAAAGAGGAUCGUGGAAUUCCAUGUGUAGCGGUGAAAUGCGUAGAUAUAUGGAGGAACACCAGUGGCGAAGGCGACGAUCUGGGAAGAAACAGACGCUGAGUCCCGAAAGCGUGGGGAGCAAAUG
rnacentral:rRNA from 1 species